rnacentral:lncRNA from 1 species
UUUCAUCUACUAAGGUCUGUUAUUUAAAAAAUUGAAAUUGUUUCCCAAAUCCAGGCUAAACUUUUAGUUGUCAUUCAUGUUUAUAGUUUUGAACUUGCUAGUUUUCUUCAAUUAAUCAUAAUUAUGUAAUUUCCUAUUAUAGGUUAGUACUAUUAGUUUGAUACUUCUUUGAAAGUUGUAGGUGUAAAUAUAAGAUCUGCCAACUGCAUGACUUGUUAAACGAGUAACUCUGGUAUUUGACAUUUUUCAUUGCCCAUCUAGAAUCUGAUUUUGCAUUUAAUUUUGAAACAAGAUUAUCUUCUUCUUUUUUUAACCUUACUGUUACUCAAAA